GUCCUGCGCCCGCCCGACGGCUCUUAAGCCCGGCCGCCCCGGGGCAGCGCCGGAGCGGCUCCGAGCGGCCCCGCCGCCCUCGCCCGAGUCAGUGACUUUCAAGCUUUUAUGGGACAACUUUAACUGAAGAGGGGGGAAAUAACGUCUGAGUAAGAAAACAGCUGAGAAGCUUCAUGAGUGGGGAAGACUUCCAGGGAUUUAUUUUUAGAAUCCUGAACAACUGGAGAUGAACUCUUUUCCUUCAGACACCUCUUUCCAGCAAGACGUUUGUGACACAUCCCACGAGCUGGGGGGAGAGAACUGCUCCAUCCCUGCACAUCAGAAGACACAAUCACUUUUAAAAACCGUUUGUUUGUUUGUUUUUCCCCUGAAAUAGUUGAAAUAGUUGAGCCUGUUCAGCCAGACCCAGGCUGAGGCAGCGACAGCAUGAUUUGACACAAUUUAUUCUGAGCAGCUUUGCUUGCAGUUUUCAUCUCACGGAUAACUUUCCCCCUGAAAUGGUGCUAAAUCCCAUGAAAAGCAGCAGAUCCCUAUGCAGGAUCAAGGGACUCUGUUUGUUUAAGUGAAUCUGUAACAAUUCCAGGCAGGUUUGUCUGAGCUCUUGGCUUUUUACAGCAGACCUUGGAUGUCUUCUGUUGAGAGCGUGGAGGUGAUUCCUCGCGGUUAAAUCCCAAAUAUGUAAGUGGAACAAGGGACCAUCACACACACCCCACUCCAGCUGCUCAAACCUUUGUAUGGACCAAUAAAAUAUGUUAAGACAGAGUCUGA